rnacentral:lncRNA from 1 species
AAGAUUUUAACUUACUAAGUCAUUUAAAACGCCCCGAUUCAAGCUUAAAUAUGAAAAAUCUAUCAAAUAUGCCAAAAAUCGUCACUUUUCAGAUGAUUUUUGUCAAAAAUGAAAGUGGCCGCAUCCGUGUUCAUCCUCAACCUUUAUAUAUAUUAUGUAUUAUCAUCAAAUACAACUUACAUUUCAAUAUUAUGGAUGAACACGAAUGCGGCCACUUUCAUUUCAGACGGAAACCGUCUAAAAUUUAACUAAAAUGCUACAAUUGUAAAGAUUUCAGUAAUUUAGCAUGACUUAAUGAUGCUAGUACCCGAUAUAUGUGCAUUGUUUUGUCAAAAACAGCC